rnacentral:rRNA from 1 species
AAUCAACGCUGGCGGCGUGCCUAACACAUGCAAGUCGAGCGAGAAAGUGUAGCAAUACAUGAGUACAGCGGCGCACGGGUGAGUAACACGUGGGUAAUCUGCCCUAGAGUGGGGAAUAACACCGGGAAACCGGUGCUAAUACCGCAUACGAUCACAAUGUCUGCGGAUGUUGUGAUGAAAGGAGCAAUUCGCUCUUGGAGGAGCCCGCGGCUGAUUAGCUAGUUGGUAAGGUAACGGCUUACCAAGGCAACGAUCAGUAGCCGGUCUGAGAGGAUGGUCGGCCACACUGGAACUGAGACACGGUCCAGACUCCUACGGGAGGCAGCAGUGGGGAAUUUUUCGCAAUGGGGGCAACCCUGACGAAGCAACGCCGCGUGGGUGAUGAAGUCUCUUGGGACGUAAAACCCUUUCGGCGGGGAAGAUAAUGACGGUACCCGCAGAAGAAGCCCCGGCUAACUUCGUGCCAGCCGCCGCCGUAAAAC